rnacentral:sRNA from 1 species
AGCAAGUGUGGCUGAGCUCCGGGGUGUGUGGACGCCGCUUUGUUGCCUGAGGGGGGUGGCGGUGGAAGUUAAGGGAGUCAGGGACUAUCGCUCCUCGAGACUCGCAGUCGCGGCCACUGCAGUCAUUCGCCAGUUAGCCCUUAGGGUAGGAGUCGCGCCGGCAGCAGCCAUGAGCGGCGGCGUGUACGGGGGAGAUGAAGUUGGAGCCCUUGUUUUUGACAUUGGAUCCUAUACUGUGAGAGCUGGUUAUGCUGGUGAGGACUGCCCCAAGGUGGAUUUUCCUACAGCUAUUGGUAUGGUGGUAGAAAGAGAUGACGGAAGCACAUUAAUGGAAAUAGAUGGCGAUAAAGGCAAACAAGGCGGUCCCACCUACUACAUAGAUACUAAUGCUCUGCGUGUUCCGAGGGAGAAUAUGGAGGCCAUUUCACCUCUAAAAAAUGGGAUGGGUAUGAUGUUUUCCCCAUGGAAUUGAUUAUGGAGUGUACAUGUUAUAUUUUAGAUAUAAAGUAGUAGCUUCCUAUAAGUUGAACAUCAACCAUGGUUUUUUGUUUUGUUUUGUUUUUUAUUCCACAAACUGAUUUCCAGACACUGAGAAU